UCUGGGACGUAUAUUGGAUGUUAUUCGGAGAAGAGGAUGAGGCUUGGAUGAUGAUAGGAAGGCUGGGAGCUAGCGGAAUCUAGUUGGGAUCAUUUGGCUGUGGGUGUGUGAGAAGAUCUCGGAGGAAGAAAACGGACGUUGAAGACGCUGGGAGCAAAUCCGGAUGAAGUAUGGUUCCUGGUUCUCAUCCGGAAGGGAAGGGAUAAGCGGAACAGGGGAGGUGAACUGAUCCGUGGAUGAAGUCAAUUCCGAACGGGAGGAAGAAACCAAUGGAUUCGUGAGCUGGGGUUGGUUGGCAGAUGGGUCUCGAGCUUAUCCGGCAGAAGAUUGGGAUGAUCUGUGGUCGAUGGAGGCUGAUCGCGGCUGGGAGAUGAUCACGGAAUGGAUGUGCACGCGGAUGGGAGGAGAUCUAAUCCAUUGGCUGUGUGUUCUGUUUCCGUGAAGUUUGGGAAGAAGAAUCGGAAGCAUGGGAUCACGGGAUAGGAUUUGUUCCGCUGGAAAUGGAGGAGCUGGGAGGUUUGGG
rnacentral:lncRNA from 1 species